CGCCAGGGAAUUACGAGCGCAAGCUUAAAAUCCAAAGGAUUUGACGGUGUCCCAUCCCCCUAGAGGAGCCUGUUCUAUAAUCGAUAAUCCUCGAUAUACCCCACCACUUNUCGCUUAAUCAGCCUGUAUACCUCCGUCGUAAGCUUACCGUCUAAAUGUAAUAAAGUAAGUUUAAGGACCACCCAUCAAAACGUCAGGUCAAGGUGCAUCCAAUGAAAUGGAAAGCAAUGGGCUACAAUUUCUACAAUAGAACACACGAAAAACUACAUGAAACAAUAGUCAUGAAGGCGGAUUUAGUAGUAAAAGAAGAAUAGAGUGCUUCUUUUAACAAGGCCCUGGGACGUGUACAAACCGCCCGUCACCCUCUUCAACAGCAUAUCUUUGAUCCUUAUCUCCUAAAAGCAUCUUAGAAGAGGCAAGUCGUAACAUGGUAAGUGUACUGGAAAGUGCACUUGGCAAA
rnacentral:rRNA from 1 species